GACGAAGGUGGCAAGCGUUAUUCGGAUUUACUGGGCAUAAAGCGCGCGUAGGCGGCUUGGCAAGUCGGGGGUGAAAGCCCGCAGCUCAACUGCGGAACUGCCUUCGAUACUGCCGGGCUAGAGUGCGGGAGAGGCGAGUGGAAUUCCUGGUGUAGCGGUGAAAUGCGCAGAUAUCAGGAGGAACACCAAUUGCGAAGGCAGCUCGCUGGAACGUAACUGACGCUGAGACGCGAAAGCGUGGGGAGCAAACAGG
rnacentral:rRNA from 1 species